AGGACGAACGCUGGCGGCGUGCUUAACACAUGCAAGUCGAGCGGAAAGGCCCUUCGGGGUACUCGAGCGGCGAACGGGUGAGUAACACGUGAGCAACCUGCCCCUGGCUCUGGGAUAGCCUCCGGAAACGGGGAUUAAUACCGGACAUUCUCCUUCUUCCGCAUGGUUGAGGGUGGAAAGUUUUUUCGGCUAGGGAUGAGCUCGCGGCCUAUCAGCUUGUUGGUGGGGUAACGGCCUACCAAGGCGACGACGGGUA
rnacentral:rRNA from 1 species